rnacentral:pre_miRNA from 1 species
AGUGGGAUAGCUGGGUCAAAUGGUGGUUACAUUCCCAGCUUUCCAAGAAAUCUCCAUACUGCUUUCCAUAUUGGCUGCACCAAUUUGCAGUCCCACUAGCAAU